GAUGAAGAACGUAGCGAAAUGCGAUAAGUAAUGUGAAUUGCAGAAUUCAGUGAAUCAUCGAAUCUUUGAACGCACAUUGCGCCCUCUGGUAUUCCGGGGGGCAUGCCUGUUCGAGCGUCAUUAUAACCACUCAAGCUUUCGCUUGGUAUUGGGGCUCGCGGUUCCGCGGCCCCUAAAAUCAGUGGCGGUGCCUGUCGGCUCUACGCGUAGUAAUACUCCUCGCGAUUGAGUCCGGUAGGUCUACUUGCCAGCAACCCCCAAUUUUUACAGGUUGACCUCGGAUCAGGUAGGGAUACCCGCUGAACUUAAGCAUAUCAUAAGCGGAGGA
rnacentral:misc_RNA from 1 species